AUUAUCGUUGACAUUUACAGGACAUGACAGACUCGAACGAAGACAUUGCUACGCCACAGUGUCAGCAAUCCCAGCUGGCACAACAUCCGACAAUGUGGAAUGAACAGCAACACCAAAAUGUCACAGCAAGGCCACAUACCUUGACACCUUUAUCCAAGGAUGGAAUAAUCAUCCUCUAAGGACAGAGGGAGGUCUCACUCCUGAACAGCUGUGGUGUAUGGGACAUCUACAAGAUCUAGACGAAGGGGAGAGACUUGAGGAACUUCAAGACCCAGGCAUCGACUGGGAGAGUACCAUACUGAUAUUCUGUACAAACUGUGAAGACCACUGAGACAAAUUUAACAUUUGUGAUAUUGGGCUAUAUAAAUAAACAUUGAUUGAUUGAUUGAUACUGCAAGAAGACUCGAACGGGGCAGUUGUGGUUCCUGAAGUUGUGUGUGCCCCCUGGAUGACGAAGACCUAGAAGAACUUCAGAGAACUGUUGAUCCUCUGGAACAUUCUCAGUCACAUGACUUGUACACACGAUUCUUGUACAGUGUGUGCAAUGACAAUUGAACGUGAACUUAUAAACUGACACAUUAGCUGAUUAAAACAAC